rnacentral:rRNA from 1 species
UACGUAGGGGGGCAAGCGUUGUCCGGAAAUCAUUGGGCGUAAAGAGCGUGUAGGCGGCCAGAUAAGUCCGCUGUGAAAUCUCGAGGCUCAACUUCGAGCUGUCGGUGGAAACUGUCUGGCUAGAGUCCGGAAGAGGAGAAUGGAAUUCCUGGUGUAGCGGUGAAAUGCGCAGAUAUCAGGAAGAACACCCGUGGCGAAGGCGGUUCUCUGGGACGGUACUGACGCUGAGACGCGAAAGCGUGGGGAGCGAACAGG